rnacentral:rRNA from 1 species
AACGAACGCUGGCGGCGUGCCUAACACAUGCAAGUCGUGCGAGAAAGUUCCUUCGGGAACGAGUAAAGCGGCGCACGGGUGAGUAACACGUAGGUAACCUGCCCCCCAGUCUGGAACAACUAGAGGAAACUCUAGCUAAUGCCGGAUGAGACCACGAUCCCUUCGGGGGUUGCGGCCAAAGAUGGCCUCUACUUGUAAGCUAUCGCUGAGGGAUGGGCCUGCGGGCCAUUAGCUUGUUGGUGAGGUAACGGCUCACCAAGGCUGUGAUGGCUAGCUGGUCUGAGAGGAUGACCAGCCACACUGGGACUGAGACACGGCCCAGACUCCUACGGGAGGCAGCAGU